AGCAGCAAGGCCAUGGAGAAAGCCAGUAAAAAUCAAGCAAUCAAAGAUGCUAUUGGGGAACCAAUUGCUAAAGGUCCAUGGUACAAUGCAUCUCUUGCAGUGGCUCACAAAAGGCAUUCUGUAUCUUGCACAUUUCCUGUGUCUGGACCACGUGGCAAUGGUGUGUUCCAAUUGAAGGCAGUUCGUAAUGGAGAGGACAAUUGGUUUUCGUUUUUCCUUCCUCGUGAUUGGGAAAUCCUAAUAAUGGAAGCUCUCCUUCAUGUUCCUGGUCAUGAGGAAAAGCAGCAAACAAUGCGGAUUAGUCUUUCUGAAAACUACCCAUCUCCAGAUUGCAAGGCAUGCACUUCAUGCCCACAGGGAUCUCAAAAGCCAGAGAACAAAUGAAAAGCUGCACACCAUCAAGUAUGUGGGAACAUUUUUUUCAUUUUUUGGCUCUGUGUUUCACACCAGUUCCUGUUCUUCCAGCAUUAGGAUUAACACAAGUUAGAUCUGAUGUGCUCAUAGAUGUAGUUAAAACUGCUCACCUGGUACAAUUUGGCCUCUUUUCCAAAUCCAGGAUGGAUUUGGUAUUUUCAUUCUAGCAGAUAUUGAAGAGCAACUAACAGUCUAAGAAUCGAGAUAGCUGUAAAUUGUACUUCGAAUUCUGGGUAAAAUUCGGUUGCUCAACUUUGAGAGUUUUUUCAUUUUUCUCAAUUUCAAUUUGUUUAAUAAAAUACUCAACUUUAAUUUUACCCAG
rnacentral:misc_RNA from 1 species